rnacentral:rRNA from 1 species
GCAUGAAGUUGGAAUCGCUAGUAAUCGCGGAUCAGCAUGCCGCGGUGAAUACGUUCCCGGGCCUUGUACACACCGCCCGUCACACCAUGGGAGUUGGUUCUACCCGAAGGCGAUGCGCUAACUCGCAAGAGAGGCAGUCGACCACGGUAGGGUCAGCGACUGGGGUGAAGUCGUAACAAGGUAGCCGUAGGGGAACCUGCGGCUGGAUCACCUCCUUU